CUAAGUGUACAGAAUCAGACACAAACACUGUUCUCACCCUGUGGGUUGAGACCCCUUUGGCAAACCUCUAGCUCCAAAAUCUACUUACAUUAAGAUUUAGAGCAACAGCAAAAUUACAGUUAUGAAGUAGCAAUGAAGAUAGCUUUAUGGUUGGGGGUCGCCACAGCAAGAGGAACUGUAUCAAAGAGUUGCAGCUCUAGGAAGGUGAAGAACCCAUGUUCUAUCCUGUCCACUUCAUUUACUGGGCUGCAAUGGUGUCUUCCCCAAAGCUGCACGUCGGGAGAAAUGGACCUUCUUGGUAGGUGUGUACUUGCUGCUCUGAACUCUCAUGAAAAACAAUGAAAACUCUCAGGAGUAAGACACACAGGGACACCCCCACCAGAAAGCCACUUUGAUACAAAUUACAUGGAUACCUCUAAGAAGGUAUGCACCCCAGCUCUCUAUCACUGCCCUGUUAUUGCUGUAAGCACUCAGCACCUGUCACCUGUACCAAACCCAUGGAUGUGUGGUGCCAGGGUCACUGUGGUUUCAAAGCCCAUCAGACAAUUUCUCUCAGCUGUUCAGUCUGUGCACUUCCUUGAUGCCUCCGAAGAUACCUGAAAGCAGUUCCUGUUGAGGAUGCAGGAGGGGUGGGUGGGGUGUUUUUGUUUAGUUUGUCUAUAUUGUUCUCAUUUUAUUAGGACCAAGCUGGUGAAGUCUGUGGCAAUGUGCCUCAAGUGUGGGAGGCUUACUCCCCAACACACACACACACACACACACACACACACUUCAGUCAACUAUAGAAAAAGAAAGGUUGGGCAGGUUUUCUUUCUAUCAUAAUGCAGUCACUUGGCCAGUCAGCCCUCAGAAGAAGACAAUACAAAUUAAUUUCUUACACAGCUCUGGGCAUUUGAAAAGAGGAAAAAAAUAUGUUCGAUUUCUUUUUCAAGAGUCUAAGAAGAAAUACACAGGAGACACUAUCCCUAUACAUAGAAUUACUGAUAUCAUCGAGUUCCUUAUGCAUGGUUUUGUCAUUCAUUCUUUUGUUUUGAAGCUUUGAUUUUCUUUGUUUCUACUGAGUAUAUUUGAAUCCCACCCCACUUCCUCGGUCAUUCGUUAUAUGAUAGCUGCUAGUCUCAGAAACAACUUAUCUUAGUACCAACGCUGGGUGUGCACCCCUCAGACUCCUCGGGGCAUUGAGUGAGCAGGAAUUUAGGAGUUUAUCAUUAGCAUCCAGAGACACCAAACAGAGUUUUAGAUGCAGAAGAGCAGAGGGCAAAACAGACUGCUCUGUUUGCUCUUGCUUGCUGAUGAUUAUGCUAAAGCUAAGUGUAACAUUGUUGCCAUUUUCAUGAUACCCGGUCAGGAAUGACUUUCUAUAUCUGGAGGGCUUUCAACAUUCUUAAUGGAAGCUCUGGGAUUUGCUUGUUUGUGGCCCUAGAGAGGUAAGUGCCCCAGCCACUGAACGCCAUCCCCAGCCCUAAAUAGAAACUAACAGUGAAGCAAUGUCUUCUCCUAACUCUUGAGAAUCUGUUUAUUGUGUCUUUGAUUAUAACGGGUCAAAGUCUCUCCUCUAAGUCUGGGUGUGUCUUCUUUCUCUAGGUGUGAGGUUUACAAGGUUCAUCAUUGUUGGAGCUCUUCCAGUGGCUAAGUAAUAUUCCACAUUCCACAGUGUGGUAUGGCACAGUGUUCACUCCCCUCACUCGUAUGUGAAGAUGUUUCCAUUCGUAUUAGCCACUUUCCUCCUUGCCAUGACAAAAUGCCUGGCAGAAACAGCUUAAGGGAGGGGAGCUUUAUUUGCACUGAAGAAUUAGGAGAUCCACCGUCCAUCACGUCAGGGAAGGCAUUAUGUCUGGGAACACAACUUGUUUCGGAGGGCAGUCAGUUUGGGCGGCAAAGGAGGCUUCCUCCAGUUAGGCUAAAGGCAGCCCAUAAAUGUUUUAUGACAUCCCAAAGCAGCAUUGUGAUCUAGGGACAAGUAUUUGAGCACAGGAGCCCGCUGGGGGGAUAUUUCACGUGCAAACCGUAGUGCUGACCUUCCGCUUCUGUGUAAGAGCCGCCAAGUCAGCUACCUUUUGAGGGAAAACAGCCUAAAUCUUACUUGCAACAGAGAAACGGUACCUCGUGGGUGGCGAUCUAGUCCCUUUUCUUUUACAUCGUAAGCACUGAGUCUCAUCUGCUCACCAGUGAUCACCUGUCAGCUGAAGUCAUCAGAUUGUCUUCGAGCCCCACCACACCUCCAACCCCACUGGACUGUUUUCUCAAUGGAGGACUUUUCUUCUUGAAAGCAGUAAUCAGUUUAUCUCCCCAGGUAUUUUGUCACAGCCACAGAAGGAUGGCUAACAUCCACAGCAAGCCGACUGGCUGGUUCUUACCCUGUGACAGGCCCAUGCUGCGACAGACCCAAGUCACAGGAACAUGCUACAAAGCUUUGCUUCUCUGUAAGUACUCCACAAACACACAGGACAAUAAGCAGACAAAUUUCACAUAGCCAAUCCUUGACGCUGCCCUUCUUCCUGAGUCCCUCUACAGAGUAGCUCUGCUGAGUCAUUUUCUCCCAAGUCCUGGGGCAUCCAAGAAUAUGGUGUCAAGUGCAACAGCUGGCCAUAACUUCCCUUCCUGUCUAUUUUGGGAGAAUCUUUGAUACUGAGUUCAAACACUUACCAGGUGUCUGGCUGUGAGGCCAGCUGUGGCUACUUAGCCUCUUUGGGCCUCAUGCUGCUGUAUAAGCAGAGUGGAGAUGAUGGCGUCCAUCUUGCAGGCUUUCUCUAAGAUUUCAGAUGCUGUCUGUGGUAUAGUUAACACUGGUGGCAGCAUUCACACUGUGGAGGCUCACAGGAAACACCCCCUCCUGCAGUUGUUAUGCCCCCAUCUCCUUACUGCAUGGAUGGCUGACCUUCCUUAUUCCAUGAAGACUUCCUUCAGUGGACUGGAAGAUCAAAACCAUCUCAAGCAGGUAUCACUAGACUGUCUAAGGAACCUGACCCACCUCCAAUUUAUUACACCUCUCUGCAGAGACAAGAAAGUACAAGGUCAUCUCAUGGGGCAUUGUGUUCAUUUAUAUUAAUUACAUCACUGUGACAAAAUACUAGCAACAAACAUGUUAUAAGAGGGUGUGGUGGUCUGAAUGAAAAUGGCCCCUAUACACUCAUAGGGACUAGCAUUAUUGGAGGUGUGGCCUUAUUGAAAUAGGUGUGACUUUGUUGGGUGAAGAAGCCACUGGGGGUGGGCUUUGAUGUUUCAGAAGCUCAAUGCAGACCUAGAGGCUUCUCUCUUCCUGCUGCCUGAGAAUCCAGAUGUAGAACUGUCAGCUCCUUCUCCAGCACCAUGUCUGCUUGCAUGCUGUCAUGGUUCCCAUCUUGAAGAUAAUGAACU